rnacentral:rRNA from 1 species
ACAUGCAUAUAGCAUAGUGUUAAUGCAUUGGAUCCCAUUAGAAAUCUAUAGUUAAGCGUGCUCAAGCUAGAGUAGUACUGGGAUGGGUGACCGCCUGGGAAGUCCUAGUGUUUUAAAUGUC